UACGGAGGGCGCAAGCGUUGUUCGGAAUUACUGGGCGUAAAGAGCGUGUAGGCGGCUGAUCAAGUCGGGUGUGAAAGCCCGGGGCUUACCCCCGGAAGUGCGCUCGAAACUGGUCAGCUAGAGUAUGGGAGAGGGAAGUGGAAUUCCUGGUGUAGCGGUGAAAUGCGUAGAUAUCAGGAGGACCACCGGCGGCGAAGGCGGCUUCCUGGACCAAUACUGACGCUGAGACGCGAAAGCGUGGGGAGCAAACAGG
rnacentral:rRNA from 1 species